rnacentral:rRNA from 1 species
AGUGAACGCUGGCGGCGUGCCUAAUACAUGCAAGUCGAACGAGUGGCGCACGGGUGAGUAAGGUAUAGCUAAUCUGCCCUACACUAGAGGACAACAGUUGGAAACGACUGCUAAUACUCUAUAGUGUAGGAUGAGGCUAUAUUGUAUCAGCUAGUUGGUGAGGUAAAGGCUCACCCAGGCUAUGACGCAUAACUGGUCUGGGGGGAUAAUCAGUAAAACUGGAACGGAGGCACCGUGCAGGAUCCUACGGGAAGCAGCGGUAGGGAGUAUUGCUCAAGGGGGGAAACCCAGGAGCGGCAACGGGGCGUGGAGGAUGACACUUUUCGGGGAGUAAACUCCUUUUGUUAGGGAAGCGGUACCUAACGAAUAAGCACCGGCUAACUCCGUGCCAGCAGCCGCGGUAAUAC